GAAAGCGUGGCUAAUACCGGGUAUUGUCCCCUAGACUGUGGUUUUGGGGAUAAAAGGUGACCUCUUCAUGAAAGUUGCCGUUCGAGGAGGGGCUCGCGUACCAUUAGCUUGUUGGUAGGGUAAUGGCCUACCAAGGCUGCGAUGGUUAGCUGGUCUGAGAGGAUGAUCAGCCACACUGGAACUGAAACACGGUCCAGACUCCUACGGGAGGCAGCAGUGAGGAAUUUUGCGCAAUGGGGGAAACCCUGACGCAGCAACGCCGCGUGAGUGAAGAAGGCUUUCGGGUCGUAAAGCUCUGUUAAGUGGGAAAAAAUACUCUCGAUCAAUAGUCGGGGGGACUGAUGGUACCACUAGAGGAAGCACCGGCUAACUCCGUGCCAGCAGCCGCGGUAAUACGGAGGGUGCGAGCGUUGUUCGGAAUUACUGGGCGUAAAGCGCGUGCAGGCGGUUUGGCAAGUCAGAUGUGAAAGCCCUGGGCUUAACCCAGGAAGUGCAUUUGAAACUGCCUUUCUAGAGUAUGGGAGAGGAGAGUGGAAUUCCCAGUGU
rnacentral:rRNA from 1 species